CAACUCUAUUCCAGCAUCCAGACGUCUCAGGCUUUUUAAAGCCAGUCAUAGGAAAGAGACAGCUGUACUAUGGCGCGUCGUGGGAGCAUUUAGAUGUUAGGAUUAGUCUUGCAGAGCAUACCCUAGACUUUUUAACCCAAAGUUAUCUGAAGUGCAAAGGUGGACCACUAAAAGUCACGACGCAAGCUCCUGAUCCAUGUUACAGUCGACCGUGUCACAAUAACGGGACGUGCUCG